UACGAAGGGGGCGAGCGUUGUUCGGAUUUACUGGGCGUAAAGGGCGCGCAGGCGGCUCAUUUUGUCAGGCGUGAAAGCCCCGGGCUUAACCUGGGAACUGCGUUUGAUACGGAUGGGCUAGAGUUCGGGAGAGGAGAGUGGAAUUCCCAGUGUAGAGGUGAAAUGCGUAGAUAUUGGGAAGAACACCCGUGGCUAAGGCGGCUCUCUAGUACGGUACGGACGCUGAGACGCGAAAGCGUGGGGAGCGAACAGG
rnacentral:rRNA from 1 species